rnacentral:lncRNA from 1 species
UUGUAGGAAUGAAACCUGCUUCAUUCAAGCUCAUUGUUAUGAAAUCCUAACUUCAUUGUUUUCCUUUCAAACUUUAAUAUGAAGAUGGAAUUUUUAUGCAGAAAGUGAAACAGAUUCAGUGACAUAUUGAAUGUCAUAAAUUAUCUAAAUACCAGGUGAAUGAAUAUCCAGGCUUAGAACUGACCAGGUUUGACCUUGUGAACUUUGAAAUGUAAGAAGAACCAAUCAGUGAUCCCCUCAAAUACCAAAGUCCGUAAUAAACCCUCAGAGCCAGCAGCAGCAGAAGCUGGAUCCAGUGAGGAGCCAGCCCACCUAUCAAUCAACUCAUCUAUCAUUGAUGCCAGGAUCAGAAGCAAAUUUGAUGAGGACUCCAUGAAGGGAGAAAAGGAGGACCAUGACAUCAGGAAGAUGAUGCCAAUAUGACCUGCAAGUGAAUUGGAUUUAAGUGAGAGAGGGCUGUGCAAAGUCAACAGCCUCACUUUUUCUUUCGGAACCAUCUGGGUUCAGUGGCAAGAUAUAGAUCAGAACAACUGGAGAUGGCCCCCAGUUAAUUAGUUAAUAUGGUGGCUCUUAAAGUGUGGUCUGGGGUUCUCUAGGUCAAAACUGUUUUCAUAAUAAUACUAAGACAUUUACAUUUCUCAUAUAGUAUAUAUGGAUCAGGGAUAUGCUGGUAAAUGUACAACAACCAGAUUUCUAAAAAUAAAAAAUGUGCAUGCCACA